AGCAGCCGCGGUAAUUCCAGCUCCAAUAGCGUAUAUUAAAGUUGUUGCAGUUAAAAAGCUCGUAGUUGAAUUUCGGGGUCUGUCCGUCAGUCGGGCUUCACGGUCCGUACUGGUGUGAUGGGUUCCUACCUUCUGAAUAACCGGCAUGCCAUUCAGUUGGUGCGCCGGGGAAGCAGAGCUAUUACCUUGAAAAAAUUAGAGUGCUUAAAGCAGGCUGGUGCUUGAAUAGAUUAGCAUGGAAUAAUAAAAUAGGACGGCAUGGUUCUAUUUUGUUGGUUUCUAGGAUCACCGUAAUGAUUAAUAGGGAUAGUUGGGGGCAUUAGUAUUCAAUUGUCAGAGGUGAAAUUCUUGGAUUUAUUGAAGACUAACUUCUGCGAAAGCAUUUGCCAAGGAUGUUUUCAUUAAUCAAGAACGAAAGUUAGGGGAUCGAAGACGAUCAGAUACCGUCGUAGUCUUAACCAUAAACUAUGCCGACUAGGGGA
rnacentral:rRNA from 1 species